GAGCUAAAGGAGAAAAUGGUAUCCCUGGUUUGCCUGGAACAAAGGGAGAAGAUGGCCUGGUUGGUGUUCCUGGUACUUCUGGUGAAAAGGGUGAACAUGGCUUGACAGGGGACAAAGGUGAAGUGGGAGAAAAGGGUGAAAAAGGAGAAAAAGGAACAGAUGGCAUACCUGGAAGAGAUG